UCGUAGGGCUUCUGCCCUGUCGAGAUAGCGUCCUUGCCUAUUUUUUGGAGUACCUUUUCGUUUCCUCAGCAGGCUUGCCUGCUACUGGGGACCCUUUAAACUCUUUGUAAAUACAGUAACUGUCUGAAUAAAAAACAAAAAUCA
rnacentral:misc_RNA from 1 species